AUUUUAUUUUAUUUUCAUUUUCAGGCGACAUUCAUGCCAGGAAGUUCACCAUCUCACUACCUACAGACGGCACUUAAAGGCGGGUUCUAUGUUCUCUUUGAGCAGCUUUGAUGUCACUAGGUGUAAUCAAAAUUUUAGUCUGUCGGACUCUCCUCUAUUGAUAUGGUUGAGUGAUUCAACCAGUUUUUAUUAGUUAACCGAACCGGUUUCCCCAAUUCCAGAAGAACACUUCAGGUUUCGAACUCAAAAAUCAGCUGCUUGGCCUAGCCAACACAAAUACCCAACUUCUAGGUAAUCCACUUACUAGCAGUUUCUCACUGCUUGGCCUAGCCAACACAAAUACCCAGCUUCUAGGUAAUCCACUUACUAGCAGUUUCACACAGACUCACCAUUGCAACCUUUAAGAUCUUAAAAUGUUAAUCCUUUUCAGGAAUAAUCGCUGAGCUCACAUCUAUAUAAAAAAAAAAAUGUUGAGCAUUCCUUACACUGUUUUUCUCCUCAGAGUGAUGUUUCUAGGACGUUGAGUAUGUUUGACUCAGAUGUUGUAUCAUUCCACAGCCACCUGGACGGCUAGCAUAAGUCCUACAAUAGUAAGAGGCGUCUGUUCCUGAAUGCCACAUCUGGGAGACAACUUUAUUUUGACAAGGAGACUAAUGCAGAGGAAACCUAUUUUACAAGCUGGUCUCUCAAGACACUGGGAACACAUCAUCAGCUUCACUGCUGAGCGGUUAAUCCAAGGUUGAGCCUGUGACCAUAGCUGAACUAAACGAGUUUAUCCUCACUCCCAGCCUUAGGUUGUACAAUAAUCUUUAGUAUGAUUGUAUUUUGCAUGUGAUUCUGUUAAUGUAAAAUGUAGAGGUUGAAUUUGUCUGCCCCAUGAAGGUCACUAGAUUUAAUAUGGAUAAAGGCUGGUGCUAUGUCUCUUGCUCCAGAUGUACAAAGAAGCUUCAGCGGACGGUCUCAUCUUUUACUUGACAACCUGCAGUAACACCAAUGCAGUUGGUUUCCUUCGAUAUGUUGGACCCUAAAAUGAGGUCCCAUACAUCAGCAACUAACAUACAUUUUAAACAUUUUAUUUUAUGUAUCGUGUGGAAACAACUAUUGAUGAUGAGAUUGCUGAAAGUCUAUUUGUUGAUUUCAAUGGGAAAUGCAUAUCUUGGUA